AAGCCCAUUAUGAUGAUUUCAUAGUUCAGCUGAAUUCAGUGAUGUAUUACAGCUUAUGUCUUUCGCUCCUAUCUGAUUAGAACU